UACAUAAAUAUAUAAUAAAAUAUUUUAUCCUCUGGUGAUGACAUUUGAACCACUAAGAUCGAUGAUGCA
rnacentral:snoRNA from 14 species